rnacentral:lncRNA from 1 species
GGCCCCUCGAGUGAUCGGAUCCGAAAAGGCAUGGCCAUGCUACGUACGGUUAAGAGUUAACCUACAAAGGGAUUCCAAAUCACAGGAUCGAGAAAGAGCGGUCGGCUUGAAGCUAGACCAAAUAUCGUGAGGCAAAGGGAAUAGCAUGUAUAUUAUGUUGUGAUGGUUCGUCUGAUAUGAUCUUCGUGUGCGUAUAGGAGUUGGCACGUCUUUCUAGAGGCCGCUACCGACUAUUGGGCCGAGUAGGAGUACUCGGGCCAUGUCUAUAUGUAUCCGAACCCAUAGGGUCACACACUUAAGGGGCUGGAAGCCCAAUUCGGAUCUGAUCCGAGUUGGAUUAGGUUUAGAAGUACUAAUGGGCCUCGGACCCAGAGGCCCGUUAGGAACCUCUAUAAAUAGAGGGGUGGGGGCGCCCUAGGGUUUACACCUUUUGGCGAAACACACCUGCCGCGCCUCCCACGCCCUCGCCUGUUGCAACUCGCGGAUCUAGCAGUCCGGCUUGCGACGCUUCCUCCCUGCACGUGUGGAUACCUUGGAGGUGUUGCGCCUGCAGCACUUGGACGAGCCAUGACGAGCCGCCGACGAGCCACGACGAGCCGACGACGAGCCGCGGCACGAGGGUGAUCUUGCUGCACGUGGACGAGCUGCUGAGGAGCUGCUGGACGUUGGCGUUGAUCGACUACGUACGACUACGUUGAUCGUCUUCACUGCAUCGACGCAAAUCUACAUCUUCCGCACCAGUAGUGCGUCGAGUGGUAAUCCCGUGAUCCUUAUGCGGCAGUUCUUCCUGGUUUUACGCGGUAGAAAUUUUGAUUUGCACUAGUGUAGCCUACCUCGUAUCCCAACACCACCGAUCUAGAAUACGGAUCGCCGAGGGUCAAGGCGUACGAUGAACAAGGGAACCAGGCAUCACUCGAAGACGCACAAGAUCAACUCGACGAGGCACGAGACGUAGCCUUGCUGUAGUCGGCUAAGUAUCAGCAGGCCCUACGGCGUUACCACAGCCGCAAGGUACAAGGCAGAGCCUUCAACGUCGGCGACCUGGUGCUCCGCCUCGUUCAGGACAACAGGGGUCGGCACAAGCUAACCCCCCCGUAGGAAGGUCCUUUCAUCGUUGUGCAAGUACUACGGCCAGGCACCUACAAGCUAGCGACUCCCGACGGGCAGAUCUUCAGCAACGCCUAGAACAUAGAACAGCUAAGCUGUUUUUACCCCUAGUUUUCAUUCCCAAGUUCUGUACAGAUUUGUCUGCAAUUUCAAAGUUUUCUUUUUGCGGAAAAAAGAAAUUCCAAGCCGUUUCUGUUCAGGCUUUUCCCAUCGAGCUCAGGGGUAUCCGACCCUGGCUUCGCUCCAGGGCCGCAUACCCCUCGGGGGCUAUCAGGGGCUCCGGCCCAAGCCACUUGGCACCAUCUAAAAAAACAUUUUUUCUUUCGAACUGAGCCUCCCUUUUCUAAACUUUUGGGCACAAAAAGGAGAGAAUACGCGAACGGUGUUCAGGCAAGAUUGAUCGGACUGCGAAAAAACCUACGCCCCAGCGGCUACGGUGCCUUCGCUCAUCAAAGCUUACUGACACGCCCAAACAACGCACUCUAAACUUUCAAGUCCAAAAGGACAAGAAAGGGGAUCGGAAACUUUCGCACGGCAAAGUUAUAGAAAAGGCCUCUAUGGCCAUCACAAAAUAAGUCCGAAACUGAUGUAUUUACAAUUUGGGCGCCAGCCCGGUACAGUUAGCUCGACUGGGAAUCUUCGGGAGGGACGGCCUCAUCCUCCAGGAGCUUCGCAAGGGCCUCCGCCGGGGUGAACACUGCCGCGUCAAUCUCGUCCAGCUCGGCCUCAGAGUAACCGGCGGCGUAUCCUCCGCUCAUCUCAGCAAAGUUGAUGUCGGAAUAAUGGGAGCCGAAGACCCCGAAGGCUCGCCGAACGCCGGUGUGAAGCGCAUCCACGGCGAUCUUGCGGCUCCGGCGGCGCAUCCCGAGGACACGAGCCGGCAGAGAGCUCGACCCCUCCUCCGGAAUCACGCCGAGGCCGUCGCGGACGACGCGGACUGAAUCCCGCAGGGCGCCGUGCUCGCCACGCUCCGUGUCGAGCAGGUCCCUCAGCUUGGCGGUUUCGUCUGCAAGAACCACCCGGAGGACCCGCUAAAUCAAAAACCACCGCAACAUCACAAAGACAAAAGGAAUGAGCAGAGUCUUACCCUCGGGUUGGGCCUUCAGCUGGCGUUCCCGGGCCACAGAGGCCUGAAGCUCCCGCGCUUGCGCUUGAAGCUGGCCGACCUCCGCCCCAAGGUCAGCCGCCGCCUUCUCAGCCUCCUCCUUCCAGACCUUCUCUGCGUCCCAGUCCUGCCAAGCCUUUUGCCGCUCGCGCCAGAUGCGCUCGACGGUCUUCUGGAGGGCUUCAUGCUCCCCCUUCAGCCGUGCGAGCUCCUCGGCGUCGUGGCGGGCCUUUUCGGCGGCAGCCUGGAACUCCUCGCGGUCAAGGCGGGCCUUGUCGACGACGGCUUGGAGUUUGGCUUCUGACCACCGCGCCUCCUCCCGCGCUGCUUCCUCACGCCUUUGCAAGUCGUUGAUGACCCCCUGGGCGGCAGCAACCUGCAUGGAUAGCUCCCUGGUUCGCUCCCUCUCCAUGUUGAAGCGCUCCCAGAGCCCCCGCUCUAGCCGAAGGAAAUCAGAUUUCCCCCGACUGCACUCUUGGAGAGCCUGCAAAGCAAUACGCCAUAAGAGGCAAGGCAACGGGAAAGGGACAAUCGCCAACAGGAGGGGCGACGUACCUGGCUACCAGGGAGGACGACGUUGUCCAAAGCCCCCAUCGCCGAGGAUAGAGCCGCGCGGGCGUUGGCGAGGCCACCCUGCACUGCCUGCCACUUGUGCCACUCCGCGGCAUCAUCCAGGUUGAAGAGGUGCCUCGGCGGGUCCUCACGGGACGCCCAGCGCAAGACAGACCCCCUCCACGCUCUGGGAACGGGAGUGGCCAACGCCGAAGCGGGAGUCGACCCGGCAGCCGCCGAGGGCGCCGAUGGCCUCGGCGCCUGCACGCCCGUCGCUGUCGGGGUUGCCGCGCACUCACUCGACGGUCCCGCCACCUCCGACGCGGGUUGCGGGACAAGUACCCCCGCGGUCACCUCGCCCUUCGCCGCAACCGCCGAGGGAGGCUCCCCCGCUCCUGCCGGAGUCCCUCGAGCAGGCUCCUCCGCCUCCGCCGCCGGUGCCACCUCCGCUGGGACCUCCGGGGUGAAGGUCCCCGUCUCCGUCACCGCUGCCUCCUCCGCCGCGGCCGCGGAGGCAGAUGCUCCCUCCUCUGUCGCCGCCGCCGCCGACCCCACCGCGGCUGCAGGGACAUCCGUCCCGCCUCCCGUCGCCGCCGUCCCCUCCGCCUCGUCGGCGUCGAGGUCAAUCACCUCCCCAGCCUGAGGACCCUGGGAACGAUGCUCUGCGCCGUAGGGUCGACCGGGGAAGUGGAAGGCGGAAUGGGGUCCGCUCCCCCUCCCGCGACCGACGCCGCCGUCGCUCCGCCGGCCGCCGUCAUAGGGGCCGCCUCCGCGGGAGGAUCCGCGACCUCACCAGGGACCCCGCCACUCGACGCGGGCGGGACUGCGAUCCGCCCCACGGAGGAGGACGACAUUCGCAACGCCUUCUUGGGCUCCAGCUGUAGGAUGAGACCACGAGGGGCAGCGCUGCGAAUCAACAAACAAACUUCAGCGGAAACGAACGUAAGAAGGGGAAAGGAACAAGACUCACGAGGAAGGCCAACUUACGUUCCUCAAGAGCAAGGACGGCGCGCGCGCUUCGCCUCUGAGCCGGACGCCGACCCCGGGGCAUCCGGCAGCGGCCGCUUGUCGCCGCUUUGCUGCCCUCGAGUCUCGGGCACGACGGCGGGGGCGGGCUCUGCGGACCUCCGAGGAGCACCCCGCGCGGACUCCUGGAGGGCGCCCCGCGCCGGCUCCUGGGCAACGGAGGGGGCGGGCUCUGAAGACCCCCGGGGGGCGCUCCGCGCCGACUCCAGGGAGGCGCCCCGUGCUGGCUCCUGGGAGGCGCCCCGCGCCGACCCCUGGGUGGCGUCCCGUGUCAACCCCUGGGGGGCGUCCCGCGCCGACCCCUGAGGCGCGGCCCCGGAGCCUUGCGGAACCAGGCCCCGGGCGGACGUCCCCUUCGCUUCAUCCCUUGCGGCCGUUUGCGGGCGCACCUCCCGGAUUACGAGCGUGCCCGACCGAAGGGAGGAAAUCAGCUCUUUCUCCUCUUCAUCAUCUUCCUCAUCUUCAUCCUCAUCAUCAUCGUCGCAGUCGUCGUCGUCGUCGUCUGACACGACCCGCCCUCUCUGCCGCCGUUGGAACUCCUUGGCGGCCUUCUUCUUCCUUUUCGCCGUCUCCUUGUCCUUACGGCGCUUCUGCGCUUCGGCAAGGAGACGGUUUUGCGUCCGCCGAUCGGCGUCCUCCGGCACCAGCGGGUACGAGUCCACGACCCAAGUCAGCGUGCCCUGCGAACGUGAAAUGGCCCCACGUCAGGAUGAUGAUUACGAGACACGAAGAAAGGAGGUCGGUGCCCCAAUCCCUUACCAGGUCGACGAAGCCCACGUCCGGGCGCAUCGGCGGGUGCCCAGGCACCGGGUAGUCGGCAUCCUUGUCCUCCAAUGUUUCCCGAAUCAGUUGCUGGAUCUCGGAGGCGGCGAGCGCGCCCGCCACCAGGGUGGUGCCCUCAAUCGGCGCAUCCGGAGUCAUGGCGGCAAGCGAACGGACCCGGAGCAUUAGCGGCGCCACUCGCCAGGCAUGGUACGCCCCAAUAACCCCAGCACCGGUAAGCCCCCUCCUCUUCAGCUGCUCGAUAGCCUGCAGCAGGUCGAGGAUCUGCUUCUUCUCCUUCUCCACCGGCCCGUACGCCCACACCUCCGGCGCCACGUUGAUGGUGCGGUCGGUGAAGUCCGGCAAGGGGGAGUCCGAGUAGUUCUUCACAUAGAACCACUGGUUAUGCCACCCCUUGUGGGACGCCGAGGUCUUCAUCGCCAUAUACUCCUUGGAGCGAGUAUGGCGGAGGUGAAUUCCGGCGCACCCGAUCGGCACCGGGGGCGACCGCUGCUGGCUCCCCCUUCUCUCCGUCUUCUGGUACAGGCUCACCGUGAAGAAGUACUUCCACAGCAAGAAGUUGGGCUCGAUGCCCAGGAACCCCUCGCACAGCGUGAUGAACGCCGCGAUGUGCUGAAUCCCGUUGGGGUUGAGGUGCUGAAGCUCGAGCCCGUAGUAAUGGAGGAGCCCCCGGAAGAAGCGGCUCGGCGGAGUCACGAACCCCCGCUCAUGGAAAUGGGCAAAGGAGACGACGUAGCAGGCGGGAGGCGACGGCACCUGCUCCGAACCCGGCAGCUCCCACUCACCCGCAUCCGUCCUCUCGUAGAGAAGGCCUUUCCUCAUCAGGCCUUCGGUGCGCGAGGAGUUGAAGUGAGAGAUUCCCCAAGAUCCCAUCGCCGGAAGAGGAGGAAACCUGACGGGAGUGGGAAGAAAGGGUGUAGCUUGGAGCGGAGGAAGGCGAAGCGGGUGCAGGUGAGCUAAGGGCGAGUGUGGAGGGCGAAAAGGCUUGAAAGCAGAAGGCGGGCGGAACCAGCGAGGUGGAGCUUCCGUUUUUAUAGGAAAGGAGCGAGGGGAGCGGAACUGACCCCCCUGUCGCCAUAAAUGCGGCGCCAGGUACGCCCCAUCACGUCCACUUUCUUUUUGGAAACCGCGCGCAUGAUCAGCCGCGAAAACAUCCUCUCCUCCUUGAUUCGCGGGUCGACGCUCUCCAUAACUCCGUCUCCCGGAAGGCACGCCUACGACGUUCCCCACGUUCGGCCCAAGACGCAACGUCCGCCCCGAUUCGGCCCAAGGCCCACCGAAAGGUAAGAAAGGGAUACGGGGCUGAAAAUGCCCCUACAGCCCAUUACGAUCUAGAGGUUCGAAGGCUGGCCCGCUACAGGUUCGACAGCUACCUCAGGACAUCCCCCGAGCGAGGGGUGAGAAGGGACGGGUCUGCUAGCGGCCAACACCUAGGCGAGCGAAAGCCAAGGGCAUCCCGACCUCACGUUCGAGUCCUGACCGGCAUCAAAGUUCAUGGUUUUUCCACGAGGAAAGGCAACGAGCCCCUGGAUCCAAUUGAACGGACCCGGGAACUAUAUGAACUGGCCGGCUGGAGACUGGAGUACGCCACCAGCUUGGCCCGAGCCGGACCCCCCCCCCUGAACGGGGACCGGGGCUCCACUCGAACCUACCCGUUCGCAGCUCAACGAGCACCACGGUUCGUCCAACGAGGAUAGCGUGGCAUGGCUCAACCCCUCCGUCCCAGCGAACGGACGCUUGAGGGAUGACGAUCAAAAGUUGACCUAGCCUCCCGAUCGGUCUCCUGCAACGCGCGGGGGCUCGGGGGCUAGCGUCGCAACCAACGACCACACGUGUGGUCGCGAUUUGUAGGCUCCCCGGCCAAGCUGGGCUAACAACGUGCCCUACCCCCAAUCAAACCGAAGCUCCUAUCGCUAUAAAAUGCGGCGCCAGCUUGCAGGACGAGUAGAAGAUCUCCGGCGAGACGGCGAAAGAAGCCUCCGGAGGAGCACUCUUGCUCCACCACAGGCUCAGGGGCUACUGUUGGGUGGAAAUAUUAAUGGCCUCCUAAUGACGCUUAAAGCAACGGUCAUGAAGGCCCAGGCCCAUCUAAGGUAGCAAAAUUGCCGUCGGCCCGACAUGGCAGGGAAAGGCUACGCUCCGCCUCGCCCGACCAGGAGACCCGGGGUCGGACGCUCCCGACCCCUUGAAGGCCACGCUCCGCCUCGCCCGACCGAAAACCCGGGGUCGGACGCUCCCGACCCCUUGUGGACUGCACUCCGCCUCGCCCGACCCUGAGUUCCGGGGUCAGCCAUCCCCGACCCUCGGAAGAUCGAGCUCCGCCUCGCCCGACCGCAGAUCUGGGGUCGGGCUGACCCAGGCCCGCCCGAAAAGUAUCCGCCUCGGGCGCCGAUCUCGUGGGCCCUCCUAUCAACCUCGCCAUAAAUGCGCCGCAUGCAUGUCAGAGAGAAGGAUGAUCGCGCUCCUCACGCAACCUACUGCAAGUACCCAUGCACGGCCGCACUGUACAGAGCUACAGUACCUGCGGCCUCCUUCCAUUCGCCGCAAGGCACUCAUGGCCUGCGCCGCCUGGAGCAGAGGGAAGACCCGCCCGUUCUCAGGUCCCGCGCGCCCGGCAGCAGGGAUGUGAUGCCCGCCCUCCACGAGGCAUCAGCAGAUCGGCGGCAUCCGCCGUCCCUCCCAACAGACACCGGAGUCACGACAAAACUCUCUCAUCAUGACCCGGCGGCUACAGCCACCGAGGAGGCGAUCUGCGGAGCGCGACGACAGUUGGCGCGCGGCCACCCUCCUCCUCCAGCAUACGCGUCGGCAGACGCUGAAGGCCGGCGAGGAUGCCGGGAACCUAGGAACUUGGUUCCUCCCUUCGUGUUAUAUUUUUACCCUCUUACGUUUAAACUCUUUACGGCUCUCACCACCCAGUCUCACCUGUAACCCCAGCAGUCCCCUUACGAUAUAAAAGGGGCAUCGGGGGCCAGAGACAGGGGGCAGAGGCUUUUCCCGCAAACCAACAGCACACUCUCGCAUUCCCUUAAAGCACAAGCACCUUCAAGAGACCUGGGAUCAGAUCCCUUUCUCGUUCAUCUGUAACCCCUACUACAGAACCCUGCGUGGGCAACACGAGCAGCCUCGAUACUGGACGUAGGGCUUUCCUUGCCCGAACCAGUCUAACCCCGUGUGUCCCACGCCACCAUCCGAAGCCUUAUGCGCAUAAAAGAAAUUUACUAGUCUAAGUCUUGAUCCGCAAAUCUUGACAACGAUAGCGUUGCAGGAGGAAGAAGAAUAGUGAAAAAAAAUUGAGUGCUCUGCACUGGUAAAACACUCGAGUGUUGUAUAGACGCGGUGUCAAGUGGGGAAAGGCACCCCACCUGGGUUUUGUAUUUUCAUUAGCAGAUUAGCCCCUAAUGUCUCGCACCAUCUUUACAAAGACUAAGGAUUACAUUGUUUUACAUAGCCAUGUCAAAGAUUAAACACCAAUCAUCCGAGAGCUUUUUCUUCCUCCUCGGCAACCUACAGCGCCAUUGUUGAGCUUCCGCUUUGCGGUUACUCAAAAUCUGGUGUACAGUGCGGUUUUCUUGCUGAAAGAUGACUCCAUUCCUUCCUUCUUUUCCAAAUCCACCAGUAGUUGUCGACCAUACAUGCCCGGACCCACCAGAGGGUCUGUACGGACCCACUCAAGGGGACGUACUCGAGACGCAUCAGGGCAUGAAGACUACACUGCAGGGAAAUAUAGAUUACAUGGAACUCCUAAAGGGAUAGUCGGAAUACAAGAGAACUAAUCUACCGAGUUAGAAUAGGACUCUAUAGUCUUGCCCGACUAGUACUUCUGUACUCAAAGCUACCCUGUAACCCUGCUCCCUAAAUAUAUAAGGGUGAGCAGGGACCCCCUCAAAACAAGUUCAAUCGAAUACAACAUACAGGACGUAGGGUCGUUCAACAAACUGGGAUUCAUUUAGCAACCGAUUUUUAUCUUCCGUUUGAACUCAUUUCCCUAAUUCUUCUAGUUUCUUUAAUAGGUGCAAUUACUAUGGCUCGACAAUAAGAAAUACUUCGAAUGAGUCAAAAUUCUUAGAAUUUCAAAUAUAAAAUAAAUAACUAAACAAUCACAAUUUUGAUUUAGUAAAACCCAUCUACUGCCAACACAACAAAUACCUUCUUUUCUCUUUUGUUGCGUAAUUGUUCUAUUCUAAUUAAUUGAAUCGGUUCAAUUCUUGUCCUCAUAUUGAAAUGAAUUACGCGAUCUAGUGGCCCGAACCUAUCUAAAUCGUGUCCCUGCGUCACCAUCAACUCCUUGAAUUCGGCGACACCCACCAACCAAAACACUAUCUCGAGUACUCCCUUGAUAGCUUGCCAGGUUAAAACACCGACAGCUGGCGCGCCAGGUAGGGAUGUCGUCGAAA